rnacentral:rRNA from 1 species
AACCCUAAUUAAUAGAGCUACGGCGUAAAACGUGUUUAAGGUACCUAAUAAACUAAAGUCAAACUCUAGCUAUGCUGUAAAAAGCUACAGCUACUGUAAGACCCAUAACGAAAGUAACUUUACUACCUAUCUGAACACACGAUAGCUAAGACCCAAACUGGGAUUAGAUACCCCACUAUGCUCAGCCCUAAACCUAAAUAAUUAUAAUAACAAAAUUCUUUGCCAGAGUACUACUAGCUAAAGCUUAAAACUCAAAGGACUUGGCGGUGCUUUAUACCCCUCUAGAGGAGCCUGUUCUAUAAUCGAUAAACCCCGAUAAACCUCACCAAUCCUUGCCAAUA